rnacentral:rRNA from 1 species
AUUGAACGCUGGCGGCAUGCUUUACACAUGCAAGUCGAACGGUAACAGGCCGCAAGGUGCUGACGAGUGGCGAACGGGCGAGUACUGCAUCGGAACGUGCCCAGUCGUGGGGGAUAUCUACUCGACUGAGUAGCUAAUACCGCAUACGAACUUUGGCUGCACGCGGGGGACCGUAAGGUCUCGCGCGAUUGCAGCGGCCGAUGUCAGAUUAGGUAGUUGGUGGGCGUAAGGCUCACCAAGCCAACCAUCUGUAGCUGGUCUGCGAGGACGAACCGCCACACUGUGACUGAGACACGGCCCAGACUCCUACGGGAGGCAGCGUUGAGGAAUGUUGGACAAUGGGCGCAAGCCUGAUCCAGCAAUGCCGCUUGCAGGAAGAAGGCCUUCGGGUUGUAAGCGGCUUGUGGACGGGACGAAACGGCUCUGGUUAAUACCCGGGGCUAAUGACGUUACCGUAAGAAUAAGCACCGGCUAACUACGUG